ensembl:lncRNA
UAGGCGGACUGUGUGAAGGCUGACCACCAGUUUACUUCCUAGCAGCAGAGUGCUGAGCCCCUGUGUUUAGAGUGAGUACUAGUACUAAGUCAAUUCACUCGUAUGCAGCUCUUUGCAGGCCUUAAGGACUAGCCCACCCAGCUCCUCUGUCCAGAACACAGGGCUUCCUGAAGAACCCAAGGCAUAUGUCACCCAUUGGAUUUAGCUUUGAGGUACUAUUCAAAAUUCUGGGCAACUAUAAAUAUGGACGAGGUAGCAAGAACACCUGGCUUUAAAAAUAAAUCCAUCAAUUAGUUAAGUGGGAUGUGUUUCCAGUUUCUUUCAGUUCUGUAUCAGAGGCCAGUGACUGCAAACAUUUUCCGACCUCUGAGUUUUGUAUUACCCUAACCCUGGCUGCUAAGACAUACCUCCAGUCCAGAAGCCCAUGAAACUAUUUCUGAUUUUUCUCCCAUUCCAAAAUGUGUCUCACCCUUGUGACUUUCCCCUUAGAGUUAGUCCCAGAGGCUCAGAAGGGUAACAGAUGAAUAUUUUAAGAGGAACUUCCUGGAAUGCCUUCUUUGCAAGUGGUGAAAUGUUCAGAUUCAAAGGAAGGCCAGUGGAGAAAAUAGCACGAAACUCAUCAAAUUCUAACGGCAUCAGAGGAAGUCAUAAUCACAUGCUGAUGGAAAACAUCGGCAGCACCUGCACCCUAGGGAUUAGGGUGAGGGCUGCAAGCCACCAGCAGGAGCAGUUUCUCCUUUGUUCUGGUGGAUUGUCGGCAGCCCACCCCCGUGAAGCAACCACUUGGCGUGAUGAAAGAAUGCCACAGCAUCCAAACCUUGGAUUCAAGUCUCUGCCAGCUAAUUACUCACUGUGGGCAUGUUGCCUAAAUUCUUCAUUUCCUCAUUAGGAAAACAAAUAAUAUAUGUGCUCCCCAGCUCAAAAAAAUGAAAAACAGUCAAAAUAACAGUAAAUAAAGCACAAGAUAUGUGAAAGUGCAUUGUCAUUCUUAAACCCCACCCAGCUGUGUGGCAGGGAUAUGGCACAGGGACAAGGUGUUAGGAAAGGGGUGUGCUCCUGCUGCAGGUCAGCUGAGCUCCUAUUCCUGGCCCCAUGCUUGGCUUCCUGUGGUUCUAAGAACACAGAUAACGUUCUUCAGGAGAGAGA